GUGGAUUAGAUACCCGGGUAGUCCUAGCUGUAAACGGUGCACGCUUGCUGUAAGUGGAAUCAACCCCACUUGUGGCGUAGCUAACGCGAUAAGCGUGCCGCCUGGGAAGUACGGUCGCAAGAUUAAAACUCAAAGAAAUUGACGGGGGCCUGCACAAGCGGUGGAGUAUGUGGCUUAAUUCGAUGCAACGCGAAGAACCUUACCUGGCCUUGACAUGCAAGUAGUAGAACCAUGAAAGUGGGACGAGGUAGCAAUACCAGCUUGCACAGGUGCUGCACGGUCGUCGACAGCU
rnacentral:rRNA from 1 species